rnacentral:rRNA from 1 species
UACGUAGGUGGCAAGCGUUGUUCGGGAUAACUGGGCGUAAAGGAUGCGUAGGCGGUUAAACAAGUUAUAUGUUAAAUAUAUAGGCUUAACCUGUAGAAAGCAUAUAAAACUGUUUAACUAGAGUGCAGGAGAGGUAAGUGGAAUUCCUAGUGUAGCGGUGAAAUGCGUAGAGAUUAGGAAGAACACCAGUGGCGAAGGCGACUUACUGGACUGUAACUGACGCUGAGGCAUGAGAGCAUGGGGAGCAAACAGG